CGAGCACGCGCGUGUGGCAUAUCAAUAAGCGGAGGAAAAGAAACUAACAAGGAUUCCCCUAGUAACGGCGAGUGAAGCGGGAAGAGCUCAAAUUUGAAAUCUUCAAGGUUUCCCUUGACGAAUUGUAGUUUAUAGAAGUGUUUUCUGUUAGAGAGGUGGUAAAAGUUCUUUGGAAUAGGACAUCAUAGAGGGUGAGGAUCCCGUAUUUGGUCAUUCCUUCUAGCGUUGUGAUACACUUUCAACGAGUCGGAUUGUUUGGGAAUGCAGUCCAAAAUGGGUGGUAAAUUUCAUCUAAAGCUAAAUAUUGGCGAGAGACCGAUAGCGAACAAGUACCGUGAGGGAAAGAUGAAAAGAACUUUGAAAAGAGAGUUAAACAGUACGUGAAAUUGUCAAAAGGGAAGCGUUUGACACCAGUGUUGUUUUUCCGAAAAUCAAUUACGAAUGUUUUGUUUUUGAGGAGUUAUGACUUCAUCGGCUUGCUUCUUUCUUUACGAAACUUUCUUAAUGCACUUUUCGGUUAACAAGUCAACAUCAAUUUCUUUUGUUGUAAAAGGGUAUGAGGAAGGUGGCUUUCUUUUCGGAGAAAGUGUUAUAGCCUUGUAGCCUCUGCAAUCGGAGAGAUUGAUGGUCUGCAGCGUAGAUCCUUCGGGGUUAGAUACAGUUUGUGCUAAGUUAUAGCUUUUCAUAGACAACUUGUUGACUAUGUUUAGUCUUGUAGCUUACUCGCUUAUGCUAUUUUACCUACGCUUAGGAUGUUGAACUCUAUCACACACAG
rnacentral:rRNA from 1 species